GAUGAAGAACGUAGCGAAAUGCGAUAAGUAGUGUGAAUUGCAGAAUUCAGUGAAUCAUCGAAUCUUUGAACGCACAUUGCGCCCCUUGGUAUCCCGAGGGGCAUGCCUGUUCGAGCGUCAUUUCACCACUCAAGCCUGGCUUGGUGUUGGGCGACGUCCCCUUUGGGGACGCGCCUCGAAACGCUCGGCGGCGUGGCACCGGCUUUAAGCGUAGCAGAAUCUUUCGCUUUGGAAGUCGGGGCCCCGUCUGCCGGAAGACCUACUCGCAAGGUUGACCUCGGAUCAGGCAGGGAUACCCGCUGAACUUAAGCAUAUCAAUAAGGGAGGA
rnacentral:misc_RNA from 1 species